AAGAACUUAAGUUAAUUAAACUAUUGACCUUCAAAGCCAAAAUUAGAAAUAAAUUUUCUAGAUCUUA
rnacentral:tRNA from 1 species